ACUCAGUGAGUACACUAUCAUGGCAGUAUUUCAACCAACAUAUCGAAUCACUAACCUGCACAUGUUUCUUUCAACUGAGAAACAUUGCUAAAGAGGCAUGGUUUUUGUGAACCUGAGAUGAUCAUUCAUGGUUUUGAAUAAUCCCGACUUGAUUACUGCAACUCCGUUUUCACCUGUCUCAGCAAGGCGUCCCUGGUCCCUGGUCCAGGACUCUGCUGCACGGCUGUUGACCAGGUCCAGCAGAAUACUGCACAUCAUCUUCUGUUUUAUCCAUGUUACAUUGGCUUCCGAUCAAGUUCAGGAAUCAAUUUAAAGUUAUUGUUAUUAAGUCCCUCAGGUCUUCUAACCAGGGACUACUGGUGGUCCCACACACUCGUUUGAAAACUAAAGGUGGCCGUUCCUUGGAAGCAGUGGUCUCAUACCUGUGGAACGCCCUUCCUAUUACCUUACACAGGCUCGGUUGCCGUUUUGAGAAAGCAGCUGAAGACACACCUGUUUCAACUUUUUUUGUCUCGUGUUUGUUUAGUCUUUAAAUCUUGAUUGAAAUUGUAUUUGUUUUUGCUUGUUUAUUUUCUGUUCUGAAUUUUUCUUUGGAUCAUCACUGCUCACAAUGCACUUACACUAAUGUAUACAUAGUCUAAACAGAAACAAUAUAGAGGCAAUUGUGCAAUGAGUGCAAUGAAGAGUGCAAAAGUAUGCAGGAGUGAAUUGUGAUAGUUAUUAUUGUAAAUGUGGAGCAUAGUGCAAAAUAUGCUGGAAUAAAAAAUAUGAUGUUAUUAUAUUACAGUUUAAAUUUGACCAGCCACUCAAUAGAUUGCCGUUGGGUGGUUUUGGCUGGUGAGUAAAGCAAAUCAACCAGCCACGUGCACAUUUUAGCAGCAUUUGGCUGGUUAAUGGUGCUAAUGUUGAACCCUGCAGGUAUGCACAUGUGUUGAAAGGAAGUGCAAGGACAGGUGGUGUCAGGCUGAUUGUUGUUGUGGGCUGGACUCAAAAUUCCAGGGCUGAUUUUUGACAGCAGUCCCGCUGGUGAACAAAAUUCAAGUAGCUGUGUCAGCAGCAGAUUUCACCCCGCCUGCACACUUACACAGGUAUUAACAACCAAACUAAUUGAACCUCUGCUCAGGUUACAACUACUUAACCCUCAUGUUGUCCUCGGGUCAAAUAUGACCCGUUUCCAGUGAAAAAAAAUAAAACAAUUUGUCACAAAAAAUGGGCCGUCAAAAUAAGCGCUGAAAAUGUCAACAUUAAAAAUAUCAAAAAAACUAAAAAAAAAAAAAA